GCAAGUCGAACGGUAACAGGUUUUUUUCGGAAAACGCUGACGAGUGGCGAACGGGUGAGUAAUGCGUAGGAAUCUACCUGAUAGAGGGGGAUAGUUAAGGGAAACUUUAAGUAAUACCGCAUAUUUCCUAAGGGAGAAAGUAGGGGACUUUUUUAAAGCCUUACGCUAUCAGAGGAGCUUACGUCGGAUUAAUUAGUUGGUGUAGGUAAAGGCUCACCAAGAUUAUGAUCCGUAGCUGGUUUGAGAGAAUGAUC
rnacentral:rRNA from 1 species